rnacentral:rRNA from 1 species
AGGGUGUAAACGCUGCAGACUCGGUGUUGGAAAUCCUUCGAGGGUAUUCAGUGCCGGAGAGAAGUUGUUAAGUCUGCUACUUGGGGAGUACGUCCGCAAGGAUGAAACUUAAAGGAAUUGGCGGGGGAGCACCGCAACGGGAGGAGCGUGCGGUUUAAUUGGAUUCAACACCGGAAAACUCACCAGGGGAGACUGUUACAUGAAACCCAGACUAAUGAUCUUGGUUGAUUUUCAGAGAGGAGGUGCAUGGCGUCAGUGACU